UGCUAAUUUGCAUAUCCCAAGAUCCCAGCCAGCUACAUGUGGACUUAUUUACAGGCUGCCGUUCUCACCCUGUGCAGCUUCAUUCCAGGUCAGGACACAGCAUGGACAUGAGGGUCCCCGCUCACUUUCUGGGCCUCUUGGUGUUCUGGAUAUCAGGUGCCAGAUGUGACAUCCAAUUGACACAGCCUGCAUCUGCAUCUGCAUCUGUGGGAGACACAGUCAAGAUCAGUUGCCAGGCCAGUCAGAGUGUUAGCAGUCUCUUAAACUGGUAUCAGCAGAAACCAGGGCAAGCUCCUAAACUCCUGAUCUAUUGGGCAACCAAUUUGCAGUCUGGGGUCCCAUCAAGGUUCAGUGGCAGUGGAUCUGGGACAGAUUUCACCCUCACCAUCAGCAGCGUGAAUCCUGAAGACUUUGCAACUUAUUACUGUCAACAGAGUAAGAGUAACCCUCCCACAGUGAUACAAGCCAUGACAUAAACCUCCCAGGGAAGC